rnacentral:rRNA from 1 species
CAGGCUUAACACAUGCAAGUCGAGGGGCAGCAUGGUCUUAGCUUGCUAAGGCCGAUGGCGACCGGCGCACGGGUGAGUAACACAUAUCCAACCUGCCGUCUACUCUUGGACAGCCUUCUGAAAGGAAGAUUAAUACAAGAUGGCAUCAUGAGUCCGCAUGUUCACAUGAUUAAAGGUAUUCCGGUAGACGAUGGGGAUGCGUUCCAUUAGAUAGUAGGCGGGGUAACGGCCCACCUAGUCUUCGAUGGAUAGGGGUUCUGAGAGGAAGGUCCCCCACAUUGGAACUGAGACACGGUCCAAACUCCUACGGGAGGCAGCAGUGAGGAAUAUUGGUCAAUGGGCGAGAGCCUGAACCAGCCAAGUAGCGUGAAGGAUGACUGCCCUAUGGGUUGUAAACUUCUUUUAUAAAGGAAUAAAGUCGGGUAUGGAUACCCGUUUGCAUGUACUUUAUGAAUAAGGAUCGGCUAACUCCGUGCCAGCAGCCGCGGUAAUACGGAGGAUCCGAGCGUUAUCCGGAUUUAUUGGGUUUAAAGGGAGCGUAGAUGGAUGUUUAAGUCAGUUGUGAAAGUUUGCGGCUCAACCGUAAAAUUGCAGUUGAUACUGGAUAUCUUGAGUGCAGUUGAGGCAGGCGGAAUUCGUGGUGUAGCGGUGAAAUGCUUAGAUAUCACGAAGAACUCCGAUUGCGAAGGCAGCCUGCUAAGCUGCAACUGACAUUGAGGCUCGAAAGUGUGGGUAUCAAACAGGAUUAGAUACCCUGGUAGUCCACACGGUAAACGAUGAAUACUCGCUGUUUGCGAUAUACUGCAAGCGGCCAAGCGAAAGCGUUAAGUAUUCCACCUGGGGAGUACGCCGGCAACGGUGAAACUCAAAGGAAUUGACGGGGGCCCGCACAAGCGGAGGAACAUGUGGUUUAAUUCGAUGAUACGCGAGGAACCUUACCCGGGCUUAAAUUGCAGAUGAAUUACGGUGAAAGCCGUAAGCCGCAAGGCAUCUGUGAAGGUGCUGCAUGGUUGUCGUCAGCUCGUGCCGUGAGGUGUCGGCUUAAGUGCCAUAACGAGCGCAACCCUUGUUGUCAGUUACUAACAGGUUCCGCUGAGGACUCUGACAAGACUGCCAUCGUAAGAUGUGAGGAAGGUGGGGAUGACGUCAAAUCAGCACGGCCCUUACGUCCGGGGCUACACACGUGUUACAAUGGGGGGUACAGAGGGCCGCUACCACGCGAGUGGAUGCCAAUCCCCAAAACCUCUCUCAGUUCGGACUGGAGUCUGCAACCCGACUCCACGAAGCUGGAUUCGCUAGUAAUCGCGCAUCAGCCACGGCGCGGUGAAUACGUUCCCGGGCCUUGUACACACCGCCCGUCAAGCCAUGGGAGCCGGGGGUACCUGAAGUGCGUAACCGCGAGGAGCGCCCUAGGGUAAAACUGGUGACUGGGGCUA